rnacentral:rRNA from 1 species
AGGGUGUAAACGCUGCAGACUUGGUGUUGGAAGUCCUUUGGGGCAUCCAGUGCCGGAGAGAAGUUGUUAAGUCUGCUACUUGGGGAGUACGUCCGCAAGGAUGAACUUAAGGAUUGGCGGGGAGCACCGCAACGGGAGGAGCGUGCGGUUAAUUGGAUUCAACACCGGGAAGCUCACCGGAUAAGACAGCGGAAUGAUUGCCGGGCUGAAGACCCUGCAUGACCAGCUGAGAGGUGGUGCAUGGCGUAGUCGUGU